UCAUAAAUCGUUGGGAAAUUUCUAUCGCUGUAAAAUGUUGAAGAAAUGAAAUUAAGAAAACUACUUUGGAUACUGAAAAAUGACUUACUGUGACAGUGGCAAAAUAUUAAAAGAAACAAAAUCGAUCUCUAGUGAAUUUCGUAUUGGAACAAAACAUCAUGUAAACAUAUCAAAAAACAAGGAAAACCUAUAAUUUUCCUUCGGGUUUUCCCAAUUAUUUCGAAAACCCCUUGGAAAGUUAAAAAAUGACAUCCUAAAUGCAUUAACUAAAGAAAAUUACCUUUCAGUAAAGGUGCUAUAUUCUAUACUUUGGAGUGCAAGUUUUCUGGUAGAAAAGUUGUUCACAGCAAACAAAUAAAAAAAAAAAA